CGGGAUGUAGCGCAGCUUGGUAGCGCACCUCGUUCGGGACGAGGGGGUCGCAGGUUCAAAUCCUGUCAUCCCGA
rfam:Oscillatoria nigro-viridis PCC 7112, complete genome.